UACGGGGGGAGCAAGCGUUGUCCGGAUUUACUGGGCGUAAAGGGCGCGUAGGCGGCCACCGCAAGUCGGUUGUGAAAUCUCCGGGCUUAACCCGGAAAGGUCAAUCGAUACUGCGGGGCUAGAGUGCAGAAGGGGCAACUGGAAUUCUCGGUGUAGCGGUGAAAUGCGUAGAUAUCAUUUGGAACGCCAAUGGUGAAAACAGGUAGCUGGGGCUGUGCUGACACUGAGACACGAAAGCCAGGGGAGCAAACGGG
rnacentral:rRNA from 1 species